CUUUCCUCCCCUUCCCUUCGUCAACACAGCAGCCACACCUCCUCUCCCGUGCUUGCCGCCGCCACAGCCUCGCUGUGCCCGCCACUAGAUCUGCGCCCUCGAGGGUGACGGGAGCUGAAGACGAUGAGCAACGGCGCGUGGGGUUCGUGUAGGUCCUCGGCUCGUCCGUACCUCACCAGUCCGCCGGGCAAGCAAGGCCGCGGGAGACGAGCACACGAAGGUCAGCGGCAAGUGCUCCAGAGAGGAGAGAAGGCGGCACUCUAGGUGGCGGCGCUGUGCUAGCAAAAUCAAGUGGUGGCUGAGGUACACGAGAGCGAGGUGGUGCUGGAACGCAUGGGGCAGGUGGUGCUGGAACGCAUGGGGGCCAGCAGCAAGUCGCCGCAAGUGCACAACCACUCCGACGAGGUGGUGGUGGCCUACUUGCCCAUGUGGGAGGUGGAGGAGGCCAACGACUAGGAGAAGGAGCAUGGAUCAUAAUCGAUGUUAUGGAUAAAACUGCUAACAAAUUGUUGCAUCAUCAUGGACAAGGUGUCAAUACUACUAGUUUUGGUUCUCAUGGGGUUUGAGAUGUGUAGAUCGAGUUCAACGGAUCAGUUGCAGACUUCCCGGAGAAAUAAACCAAGAUGGGCAUUAUCUGGUACAGCACAAGGAACCUGCCCUCCUGCUUAGGUUCUGUAGCCAUGGUUAUGAUGAAGACUCUGAUUCCAGUUCUCAGAUCCUAUGUGCCUGCUUUAUUAUUCGGCUGCUGUGAGACAGGCCUUGUCGCCACCUCACUUGUCAUCGCAAUCGUCCCUACCUCACUUCCCUCUGCCCUCGAGGCAAGGUCCCUCGAUUGCAUGCAUUCUUGCCUAUUGGAUGUUGGUCAAUUUGGUCUUCUGCUUCGUUUCAGCCGCUGGAUCUUUGCUGUUCCUUUUCACUGCACGGUAAGCUCGCAUUGACCAAUGACUGGUGGGCUCUCGCAGUGUACUGGUUGGCUGGGUCAACCGUUACAAGGUGCGUGUACGCCCUCUCCCUGCAUGCCGCGUGCGUGUCGCGUCAUUUGCAGGAGAGCCUGCGGCAGCCGCGCAUGGUUUCCUUUCUUGCGUGCGCGCCUGUUUCUUUCGCUGAAGGUGGGCUCUGUUUUGGUCUGGUCCCAUUUGUUUGUCAUUCAUGCGUGGUGCGUUGCGUCUCGUCUGCAUCUGGAGAGAGAGGCAGGGCUGACCAAUGCAUGUGCGCGUGAGGCCUGGCAGAUGCAUCGUGUGCGACUUGUGCGUGCCUCACCUUCGUCUGCAGUUGCAGAGAGGAUGGGCUGGCAAAAUAUCUCGCGAGCCUGGCCGCCUCCAAUUUCUCUUCCCGCUCUCUAAUCUCUCUUGAUCUACUACCGCCGCCACCACCGCCUCCUCUUGGUUUCUGAUACUUCCACUCCGACGAAGAUCACCGUGCCGCUGGUUCUUAGAUCCCGGGAGAAGGGGAACAGUAGCCGCGCCAGGCGGCAUGCCUCGUCCGAGCCGCAUGGUGGCCAACACAUCGGCGGUUUCAUGGCCGAUUCUGGGCGGCACCUCGUCAGUGUCGUGGAUGGCUUCGGCAGCGCCUUGGCAUUCCAGAGGGGCGAAGUGGGACGGCCAGCAUGCGUGGGGCACAAAGGUCACGAGUAGGAGGGAGAUGCGCUGGAGGUGAUGGAGGAGGAAGUCGGAGGCGGCAUCAGCGUCCAUGGCGACGCCACCCCGGGAACCCUCCUACACACCUUGGCAUGGCUCGUCCGUGCCACAUGGUGGCCGAGAUGCUGGUACCUCCUCUCUCUGGCUUCUCUCUUAUUUGCCCCUUUGUCUCGGGGAUGAGGGCGUCGGUGCAUCAUCAUGAGUGGAUCAAGAGCAGACCGUAGCAGCAAGAGCAAGGAUCUGGUGGUGGUUCAUGAUAUUGUACUGCAUUACUAAAUGUUCUAGGGUUGGAGAGAGCUUAGGUAAGUGCUCAGGUUCUAUGUGGAUAACAAUAACAAAAAAAUAGAAAUCCAAAUCUCUAAAAAACUGACGGAAUCAUGUAUAUAUAUAUUUUCUAGAAUGUACUCUUUCUGAUUCCUAUUAUAAGAUGUUUCGUUUGUAUGCUAUUUUUUUCCUUUUGUAAUUUGUUUUCUUUCUUUGGUGCUGCUUGAAGUGAUAUUUUGAUAUUCAGUUUUUUUUUUUGAAAUUACAAGUCAGACGCUUUAUUUUUUAGUAUACAUAUUAACUGAUGCACAACUGAAUGCCAUUUUAUCCUGUUUGGCAUAAUGAUGGUAGUGAUUUGAAGCCAACCCAGAACUAUUAGUGAUUCUGACAAGUGGUGCUCUAAUAUUCAGUUGUUUUCUGAAAUUAAAUUUAGUUAGUUUUGAGUUUGAGUAAAAAAAUAGUACAAAAAAGUGGUGUUCUAAUAUAUUUUUGUGUUAGGAAAUUAGAAGUUAUUUCUUUUUAGUUGAAGCCCAUCCAAGUAGCAUUUUAUUGUUUCUGUAGGUCUACCCAGUAAUGUGAGUCAGUGUAUUGAUUUGCCAAUUCUUAAUCAGUAUAUAAAAAUUCUUGAGCUGAUGUGAUGCCUGCAAUGCUUUUUUGUCUCCGCUAUUUUCUUCCUUUAGUGUACAAACUGUUUUAUUCCGAGUUUCUGGCUUCUGUGUGCAUAGUAGGUUCAGAAUCAAUUUGUAAAAACACAAACUUUGCCAUGUUUUCUCGCCAUCAUCCACCUCCUGGUCCUUGUUCGUAACCCCACUGUACUUCCAGAGAAAUACAACUUAUUUAUUAGGUUUCUCAGUAUCUCAAAUAUGUAGUAUAGCUGCUAAUGCUUCUUCGUUUUGUUGUAUCAUUUCUGCAUAUGUAAUUUUAAUUGUCUGAGAGGGGGAAGAGGAGAAACGGCUGCGUCGGACGGUGCUCGUCAUGAUGUGCCUGUGAGUACCCUCCCCCUACCUUAGUUGUUGUUCUCCUUGUUUACCCCAUGAUGGCUGCUCCGCGCGGAUCUGCGCCUCCGUCCAUCGCAGGGAUAGGAGGGCUAGAGCAGUCACCGUCGAGCAGGGAGGCAGCUGGAGUUGUCCGUUAUUGAGGAAAGAAUGGCAGCUCGAGGAGACUUGAGGCAGCGGUGGCGGGGAGUGUGUGUGUGUGUGUGUGUGUGUGUGUGUGUGUGUGUUCAGAACAGAUGUGUUUUCAGAACUUAUUACUUUUGAUACACUGCCCCUUUAUGUUGAGCAGAUGCGGAUCAUAUUUAGAGAGAUUAAGAUACUCAAGACCAAGGAAUGCAUACUGAAGGCUGCCAAUGAUACCCUUCAACAAAGGCCCUAACAAAUAAAUGGAAGAAUCUAUUGGGUGGUACUCUCACUGCUUAGCAAAGAGAAUGAAGGGUCAACAUUUACGGUCAUGCUGCCCACGCUUCAGAAAAAAAGGCAAAAAUGUUUUACGGCUCAAGCAUGGGAAGUAUAGACCAAAGAAUGUGGUUUACAGUUUCCCUAUUUUGUUGGAUCAACUAAUGUGUUGAUUUGUUACUUCAUGUCAGUGAUGUUUGUAAUCAAGAAUCAGGAAAGCAUACCAGUAUAUUGCAAUUCCAAAACUUAGAAAUAUGAGAAGGAUGCCCAAACCUACAGAUUUGUAAUUAACAUUUUGCACUACAUGUUGCCACUGGGUCAUUUUGCCAUGUGAUGUUCUUAUACAAAUAUGUUGUUUUCUC
rnacentral:rRNA from 1 species